GUAGGGAAUAUUGCACAAUGGAGGAAACUCUGAUGCAGCGACGCCGCGUGAGUGAUGAAGGCCUUCGGGUCGUAAAACUCUGUGAUAAGGGAAGAUGAUGACGGUACCUUAUCAGAAAAGACCGGCUAACUUCGUGCCAGCAGCCGCGGUAAUACGAGGGGUCUAAGCGUUGUUCGGAAUCACUGGGCGUAAAGCGGGUGUAGGUGGCUAUGCAAGUUGGAUGUGAAAGCCCCGGGCUCAACCCGGGAAGUGCAUCCAAAACUACGUAGCUUGAGUGCGGGAGAGAAAGGCAGAAUUCCUGGUGUAGUGGUGAAAUACGUAGAUAUCAGGAGGAACUCCGGUGGCGAAGGCGGCCUUUUGGCCCAGCACUGACACUCAGACCCGAAAGCGUGGGUAGCAAACAGGAUUAGAAACCCCGGUAGUCC
rnacentral:rRNA from 1 species